rnacentral:rRNA from 1 species
CAGCAGCAGCCGCGGGAAUACGAAGGGUGCAAGCGUUACUCGGAAUUACUGGGCGUAAAGCGUGCGUAGGUGGUGGUUUAAGUCCGUUGUGAAAGCCCUGGGCUCAACCUGGGAAUUGCAGUGGAUACUGGGUCACUAGAGUGUGGUAGAGGAUAGUGGAAUUUCCGGUGUAGCAGUGAAAUGCGUAGAGAUCGGAAGGAACAUCUGUGGCGAAGGCGGCCAUCUGGGACAACACUGACGCUGAAGCACGAAAGCGUGGUGAGCAAACAGGAUUAGAUACCCCGGUAGUCCCUGUCUCUUAUAC